CUGAAUUUGUUUCAAGGUGAAUACCCGGUUGUCCACUGAUGGCCAACUGGGAUCGAUGCUGAGGUCCGUGCCAGUGGGCUACCAGAUCUUCAGCCUCGCACAUCUUUUAAAAAAACGGCUUCCGCUCAAUCGAAAAAGCUUCCAGCUACUUCUGUAAUAAAAAGACUCGUCGUGACCUUAUCAUUGAAACGCGGAAAAUGGCACAAACUGUGGUCCUCUUCCUGGUGCUCGUGUCGGUAUUGAACGCGGCUACUUCGGCUUCGCUCAAUAAACGUCAGACGGGCUUGGUAGGAGGAUAUUCAUCCGCCAACGUACACGACAUCGAUGUUAAUGAGAUGGCCGAUUUCUCAAGAAGAGCCAUUUCGUCAAAAAGCAACUCCGGACCUUCGACUCUGAUCCGAAUCGUAAAAGCUGAAAAGCAAGUUGUGGCCGGGAUGAAUUAUAAAUUGACUCUCGAGAUGGAAAAUGCCAACGACGGAGUCAUUCUCUGCGACGUCAUUGUUUUCGACCAGCCGUGGACGAACACGCGUCGACUACGCGAGUCCAGUUGCAUGGCGGUUUGUACGGGCAAACAAAUUUUUUGAAUUGAAUAUUAUUAGUGUGUAGCUAGUAAUGAGUGCCGUAAUAAACCAAUCUUUAAUAACAA